AGUGAACGCUGGCGGUAGGCCUAACACAUGCAAGUCGAACGGCAGCACAGUAAGAGCUUGCUCUUACGGGUGGCGAGUGGCGGACGGGUGAGGAAUACAUCGGAAUCUACUUUUUCGUGGGGGAUAACGUAGGGAAACUUACGCUAAUACAGCAUACGACCUACGGGUGAAAGCAGGGGAUCUUCGGAUCUUGCGCGAUUGAAUGAGCCGAUGUCGGAUUUGCUAGUUGGCGGGGUAAAGGCCCACCAAGGCGACGAUCCGUAGCUGGUCUGAGAGGAUGAUCGGCCACACGGGAACUGAGACACGGUCCAGACUCCUACGGGAGGCAGCAGUGGGGAAUAUUGGACAAUGGGCGCAAGCCUGAUCCAGCCAUACCGCGUGGGUGAAGAAGGCCUUCGGGUUGUAAAGCCCUUUUGUUGGGAAAGAAAAUCAGCAGGUUAAUACCCCGCUGUUCUGACGGUACCCAAAGAAUAAGCACCGGCUAACUUCGUG
rnacentral:rRNA from 1 species